rnacentral:rRNA from 1 species
UACGUAGGGACCGAGCGUUGUCCGGAAUCAUUGGGCGUAAAGAGCGUGUAGGCGGCUUGCUAAGUCUUGCGUGAAAUCUCGGGGCUCAACCCCGAGCGGUCGUGGGAAACUGGCAGGCUAGAGUGCGGGAGAGGAGAAUGGAAUUCCUGGUGUAGCGGUGAAACGCGCAGAUAUCAGGAAGAACACCCGUGGCGAAGGCGGUUCUCUGGAACGCAACUGACGCUGAGACGCGAAAGCGUGGGGAGCAAACAGG